rnacentral:rRNA from 1 species
UACGGGGGGUGCGAGCGUUGUCCGGAAUCACUGGGCGUAAAGGGCGCGUAGGUGGUUUGAUAAGGGUGUGGUGAAAGCCCGGGGCUCAACCCCGGGUCUGCCGUGCCGACUGUCAAACUCGAGGGCUGUAGAGGCAGACGGAAUUCCGGGUGUAGCGGUGGAAUGCGUAGAGAUCCGGAGGAAGACCGGUGGCGAAGGCGGUCUGCUGGGCAGUUUCUGACACUGAUGCGCGACAGCGUGGGGAUCAAACAGG